rnacentral:misc_RNA from 1 species
UCUCUCUCUCUCUCUCUCUCUCGCUGUGUGACCUUUUUAUCCUCUUCUCCUCCAUCGCUAAUCAAAUCAAUCAAACGGUAACAAUGGCGAAUCAUCGAACCUCGCGGAGUGGAUUGAUACGGAGUUUCAGUCUGUCGUUUAGACUAUUGGCCUCCGCGGUUACGGUUGCGGUGUUUCUCUUCUUCGCUGUCUCUUUUCUGUUCACUUCACACUCUCACUCUUCCUCUGACCUCCACCACUUUGGCUUCAGCAACAUACCUUAUAGAUUUGG